UACGAAGGGGGCUAGCGUUGUUCGGAAUUACUGGGCGUAAAGGGCGCGUAGGCGGUGCCUCAAGUCAGGCGUGAAAGCCCCGGGCUCAACCUGGGAACCGCGCUUGAGACUGGAGUACUAGAGUUCGGGAGAGGAUGGUGGAAUUCCCAGUGUAGAGGUGAAAUUCGUAGAUAUUCGCAAGAACACCAGUGGCGAAGGCGGCUCACUGGCCCGAUACUGACGCUGAGGUGCGAAAGCGUGGGGAGCGAACAGG
rnacentral:rRNA from 1 species